GCCGAAGUGGCGGAACUGGCAGACGCGGAACUGGCAGACGCACAGGACUUAAAAUCCUGCGGUGCUAACACACCGUACCGGUUCGAUUCCGGUCUUCGGCACCA
rnacentral:tRNA from 1 species